GUCUACGGCCAUGCCACCCUGAACGAGCCCGAUCCUAUCUGAUCUCAGAAGCUAAGCAGGGUUGGCCCUGGUUAGUACUUGGAUGGGAGACCACCUAGGAAGACUGGGUUCUGUAGGCA
rnacentral:rRNA from 1 species